rnacentral:rRNA from 1 species
UUUCUGAAUGGCAUACGCCUGGCAAUUCUAGAGCUUUUACAUGCUUAAUCCCGACUCACCAAGGGUAGUAUUUAUUAGAUAAAAAAACAACAUUUUCGAUGAUUCAUAAUAACUUAACGAAUCGCAUGACUUUAAGUUGGCGAUGGUUCAUUCAAGUGUCUGCACUAUCAACUUUCGAUGGUAGGAUAGAGGCCUACCAUGGUUUCAACGGGUAGCGGGGAAUAUAUAAGGGGUCGAUUCCGGAGAGGGAGCCUGAGAGACGCCUACCACAUCCAAGGAAGGCAGCAGGCACGCAAAUUACCCAAUCCCACUUCGGGGAGGUAGUGACAAUAAAUAACGAUACAGGGCCUUUGGUCUUGUAAUUGGAAGGAGUAUAAUUUAAAUACCUUAACGAGGGACAAUUGGAGGGCUAGUCUGGCGCCUGCAGCCUCGGUAAUUCCAGCUCCAAGAGCGUAUAUUAAAGUUGUUGCAGUGAAAAAGCUCGUAGUUGAAGUUUGGUGGUAACUAUUUAUUUAGUUACUGCCACCAGCUUUCUGGCUGGUGUUGCUUUGAGUAAAUGAAAGUGUUUAAAGCAGGCAACGCCUGAAUCUUCUAGCAUGGAAUAACCAAAUUUGACGAUUUCAUUUUGUUGGUUCUAGAAGUAAUGAUUCAUAGGGACGGUCGCGGACAUCAGUAUUCAAUAUUCCGAGGUGAAAUUCUUGGAUUUAAUGAGACCUACUACUGCGAAAGCAUUUGUCAUGGCGUCAUCUGCUGAUUUUUAAAGAUAAAAAAUGUAACUUUCUUUCUUAUAAAAUCCCGCUCACCUCCGGUGGGCGGGGUUAAUCACCCCGUUUUCACUAGUCAAGACCGAAGUUAGGGGAUCGAAGAUGUUCAGAUACCGUCGUAGUGUUAACCAUAAACUACGCCCACUAGUCGGGUGUUGGUCAAUAUUUUGACGCCCUCGGCACCUCACGAGAAACCAAAAGGCUUGGUUCUGGGCGGAGUAUGGUCGCAAGGCUGAAACUUAAAGGAAUUGACGGAAGGGCACCACCAGGAGUGAAGCCUGCUCUUAAACUCCAUGGGAAAUCUCACCAGGUCCAGACACAAUAAGGAUUGACAGAUUGAGAGCUGUUUCUUGAUUUUGUGGGUGGUGGUGCAUGGCCGUUCUUAGUGGGUGGAGUGAUUUGUCUGCUUAACUGCGAUAACGAACGAGACCUUAAGCUUUAAAUAGGGUCUUUAGCUUUUGCUGAAGGAAUUCUUAAAGGACUAUUGACUAAAAUCAUUUGAAGUUUGAGGCAAUAGCUGGUCUGUGAUGCCAUUAGAUGGUCUGGGCCGCACGUGCGCUACACUGACGGAGGCAACGAGAUGACCUUAGCCGAGAGGUUUGGGAAAUCUGCAAACUCCUUCGUGAUGGGGAUAAAGCAUUGAAAUGAUUGCUUUUGAACGAGGUUUUCCUAGUAAGCCUAAGUCAUUAACUUGCGUGGAAUACGUCCCUGCCCUUGGACACACCACCCGACGCUACUACCGAUGAAUGGCUUAGUGAGAAUACUGGAGGACUUUGUUUAGAGUCUUUUUUGAGUCCGAGAUAUUCAAACAUGGCCAUUUAGAGCAAGUAAUAGUCGUGAUAAGGUUUCCGUAGGGAGUAUACCGUGA